rnacentral:rRNA from 1 species
UCGGUGGGGAUUAGUGGCGAACGGGUGAGUAACACGUGGGCAAUCUGCCCUUCACUCUGGGACAAGCCCUGGAAACGGGGUCUAAUACCGGAUACGACUACGGAGGGCAUCCUUGGUGGUGGAGAGCUCCGGCGGUGAAGGAUGAGCCCGCGGCCUAUCAGCUUGUUGGUGAGGUAACGGCUCACCAAGGCGACGACGGGUAGCCGGCCUGAGAGGGCGACCGGCCACACUGGGACUGAGACACGGCCCAGACUCCUACGGGAGGCAGCAGUGGGGAAUAUUGCACAAUGGGCGAAAGCCUGAUGCAGCGACGCCGCGUGAGGGAUGACGGCCUUCGGGUUGUAAACCUCUUUCAGCAGGGAAGAAGCGAAAGUGACGGUACCUGCAGAAGAAGCGCCGGCUAACUACGUGCCAGCAGCCGCGGUAAUACGUAGGGCGCAAGCGUUGUCCGGAAUUAUUGGGCGUAAAGAGCUCGUAGGCGGCUUGUCACGUCGAUUGUGAAAGCCCGAGGCUUAACCUCGGGUCUGCAGUCGAUACGGGCUAGCUAGAGUGUGGUAGGGGAGAUCGGAAUUCCUGGUGUAGCGGUGAAAUGCGCAGAUAUCAGGAGGA